rnacentral:rRNA from 1 species
UUCUUCCGUAGGUGAACCUGCGGAAGGAUCAUU